rnacentral:lncRNA from 1 species
GAGACCAUCCACAGAGAGAGAUGGGCAAUUGUGAGAAGAGGUCGAGAACAGAAUAGGAAAGAAGGAGCGGCAGAGCUGGAGGCCAGCGGAAGGACAGAGGCCGUGAGUAGGAGGAAAAACAGAAAUGCACAGUACAGGCUGACUUGUGGGGAAUGUGACCACCAGUGUGCAGG